rnacentral:lncRNA from 1 species
CAGAGACCCCGGUGCUCAAAGCUCAGUGUUUUCAUGCGUGAAACAGAAACACCAAGGCCUCAGCCCAUGUUUUCAAGUCCUGAGGUCGGCGGCAACGCCUAACACAAUGCUGAUUCGAAGUCGGGAGCCGAUCUUGGGCCAUUUCGCCUCCUGGUUCCUCAGCUCUCCCAUUGUACAAGCUCAGGAAAAUCACGAUAUUUGUCGGUGCCUCAGUUUCCUUAUCUGCUGGAUUGGAGCACUCCUGAGGCCCCCACAGUGCCCUGACUUUAUGGAUCCUUCUGUCUCCUUCCCUCACCUAAAGGACGAGACUCAGAAGCUCCAAGACCAGUGUGAGACAGAGACCAGUCUCUUGGGCAGAUCACAGACAGAACGGCGUGUUGCAGAUAAUUUCUUGCCUAAGUAAAGAAAUGUGGAAGUUAAUCCCCUCUUCUAGACCAUGUGUGUUGGAGGAAGUAUGAAAAAAGGAUGAAUAAAAAUACUUCAAAAUUUCCUACCAUUUUGAACGUGGUCUUUUCUUGAUUGGGAGUUCACUGGUCACUGCUGUUGAUGUUUUGGCUCAAAAUCUCCUGUGAAGUUAUUUUAGUCCAUCUCCA